AUUGAACGCUGGCGGCAGGCCUAACACAUGCAAGUCGAGCGGAUGAAGGGAGCUUGCUCCUGGAUUCAGCGGCGGACGGGUGAGUAAUGCCUAGGAAUCUGCCUGGUAGUGGGGGAUAACGUCCGGAAACGGGCGCUAAUACCGCAUACGUCCUGAGGGAGAAAGUGGGGGAUCUUCGGACCUCACGCUAUCAGAUGAGCCUAGGUCGGAUUAGCUAGUUGGUGGGGUAAAGGCCUACCAAGGCGACGAUCCGUAACUGGUCUGAGAGGAUGAUCAGUCACACUGGAACUUAGACACGGUCCAGACUCCUACGGGAGGCAGCAGUGGGGAAUAUUGGACAGUGGGCGAAAGCCUGAUCCAGCCAUGCCGCGUGUGUGAAGAAGGUCUUCGGAUUGUAAAGCACUUUAAGUUGGGAGGAAGGGCAGUAAGUUAAUACCUUGCUGUUUUGACGUUACCAACAGAAUAAGCACCGGCUAACUUCGUG
rnacentral:rRNA from 1 species